rnacentral:rRNA from 1 species
UACGUAGGGGGCAAGCGUUGUCCGGAUUUAUUGGGCGUAAAGAGCGUGUAGGCGGCCUUACAGGUCAGCUGUGAAAACUCGAGCUCAACCUCGAGACGCCGAUGGAAACCCCCUGACUAGAGUCCGGAAGAGGAGAGUGGAAUUCCUGGUGUAGCGGUGAAAUGCGCAGAUAUCAGGAAGAACACCCGUGGCUAAGGCGGCUCUCUAGUACGGUACUGACGCUGAGACGCGAAAGCGUGGGGAGCGAACAGG